AGGCUGACUGCACUCAGCGAGGCGGUUCUCACUUCGGGGUUCACGCUUGGAGUUGCAGUCGGACAGUGGCUGUGGCUGGAGUCGUCUUGUUUGCUGUCAUGUCUCCUCACUCGUGUGUCUGUUGGCUAGGACCCAGGAUGGGGUCGUCAUCAAGAACCCCACACGUGACCUCUCCACGUGGCCUGGACUUCCCCCAUUACAUCCCAGCUGGACUCUACAUCCCUAGAGGACAGGUGGAUUAUCCAAGAUGCUUUACUAACAGGAAAAAAGUCCUGGAACCACAGCAUUGCUACUACCCCAAGAAGAAGAGAACAACUGCUAUUACCCAAGACAGAGAUAACACCAAGAUGCAUCUCCACAAACAAGCCUGACUAAAUCAUCAUUUUCCACCAUUAUUUUCCCCCAUAUAUUUCCUACUCACUUUCCCACAACUUAUUAUCCCUGGAAGCUCAAACAUGCUUUCCUUUGUCCAGUUACUUCUCCACAAUUUAUUGCCCUUUGUUGAAAUUGUAUAUAAGCCCCUGAGCCUAAUAACUUUGGGUUUUCACUUUCCUGUGAAACAUCUAUGCACGUAAAAAUAUUAACAUCAAUAAAAAUUGCUAUGCCUUUUCUCCUGUUAAUCUG
rnacentral:lncRNA from 1 species